rnacentral:rRNA from 1 species
AUUGAACGCUGGCGGAAUGCUUUACACAUGCAAGUCGAGCGGCAGCACGGGGGCAACCCUGGUGGCGAGCGGCGAACGGGUGAGUAAUACAUCGGAACAUGCCCAGUCGUGGGGGAUAACACUUCGAAAGAAGUGCUAAUACCGCAUACGUCCUGAGGGGGAAAGCGGGGGAUCGCAAGACCUCGCGCGAUUGGAGUGGCCGAUGUCAGAUUAGCUAGUUGGUGGGGUAAAGGCCUACCAAGGCAACGAUCUGUAGCUGGUCUGAGAGGAUGAUCUGCCACACUGGAACUGAGACACGGCCCAGACUCCUACGGGAGGCAGCAGUGGGGAAUUUUGGACAAUGGGGGCAACCCUGAUCCAGCCAUUCCGCGUGAGUGAAGAAGGCCUUCGGGUUGUAAAGCUCUUUCGGCAGGAACGAAACGGUGAGCUCUAACAUAGCUUGCUAAUGACGGUACCUGAAGAAGAAGCACCGGCUAACUACGUG